UACAGAGGUCUCAAGCGUUGUUCGGAUUCAUUGGGCGUAAAGGGUGCGUAGGCGGCGCGGUAAGUCGGGUGUGAAAUCCUGCGGCUUAACCGCAGGGCUGCCUUCUAAACUGUCGAGCUCGAGCACGGUAGAGGCAGAUGGAAUUCCCGGUGUAGCGGUGGAAUGCGUAGAGAUGUGGAGGAACACCGAUGGCGAAGGCAGCCCCCUGGGCUAACACUGACGCUCAUGCACGAAAGCGUGGGGAGCAAACAGG
rnacentral:rRNA from 1 species